rnacentral:rRNA from 1 species
UACGUAGGGUGCAAGCGUUGUCCGGAAUUAUUGGGCGUAAAGAGCUCGUAGGCGGUCUGUCACGUCGGACGUGAAAAUCCAGGGCUCAACCCUGGACCUGCGUUCGAUACGGGCAGACUAGAGUUCGGUAGGGGAGACGUGGAAUUCCUGGUGUAGCGGUGGAAUGCGCAGAUAUCAGGAGGACACCGAUGGCGAAGGCAGGUCUCUGGGCCACUACUGACGCUGAGAAGCGAAAGCGUGGGUAGCGAACAGG